rnacentral:rRNA from 1 species
AGAGUUUGAUCAUGGCUCAGAGCGAACGCUGGCGGCAGGCCUAACACAUGCAAGUCGAGCGCCCCGCAAGGGGAGCGGCAGACGGGAGAGUAACACGUGGGAACGUGCCCUUUGGUUCGGAACAACACAGGGAAACUUGUGCUAAUACCGGAUAAGCUUACGGGGAAAGAUUUAUCGCCAAAGGAUCGGCCCGCGUCUGA